rnacentral:rRNA from 1 species
UCUUGAUGGUAGUGUAUUGGACUACCAUGAGGAUUACGGGUACGAGGAAUUAGGGUUUGAUAUCGGAGAGAGAGCCUGAGAAACGGCUAUCACUUCUAAGGAAGGCAGCAGGCGCGUAAAUUACCCAAUCUCGACUCGGGGAGGUAGUGACAAGAAAUAAUAACUUGGGUACUUCAAUAGUAUCACGAGAUUAAAAUGAGAACAAUCUAAAAAACUUAUCGAGGAACAAUAAGAGGGCAAGUCUGGUGCCAGCAGCCGCGGUAAUUCCAGCUCUUAUAGUGUAUAUUAAAGUUGUUGCAGUUAAAAAGCUCGUAGUCGAUCAUCUAGUAGUCGGCAGCGGUGGCUUCGCGUCAUGCUGUGUGGCUGCUAUCUGCUCGAAAACUUUUUCGUACUUCACUGUACGAAGAUGCCGAUCGGGCGUUUUCCUGAGAAAAAAAUUAGAGUGUUCAAAGCAGGCUAAUGCCGUGUAUAUUACAGCUUGGAAUAAUAGAAUAAGACUGAAGUCACUUUUGUUGGUUAUGCGACUUUAGUAAUGGUUAAUAGAAACAGUCGGGGGCAUUAGUAUUUAAUUGUCAGAGGUGAAAUUCUAUGAUUUAUUAAAGACUAACUUAUGCGAAAGCAUUUGCCAAGGAUGUUUUCAAUUGAUCAAGAACGAAAGUUAGGGGAUCAAAGACGAUCAGAUACCGUC